AGCAUUCACAUAAUACUAAUCCUGUGGGUUCUCUAAUUUACACCACAAAUUGUGGACCAGAAGUCAAUAUUGAAUCCGAUUCUCCAAUCAGAUUGUAUAUGGACUAGGAUCACUGUGAAGACAGAUGCUUGUGAUGCUGCCCCAAAAGGGGCGCAUCCAUGUAGUCACUUGCGCAGGAUAUGAUUCCGGUGUCAUUGCCGACAUGUAACGUCUGCAGACGGAACAUUCUACAGGAACAAUAAGAACUUCCUUUUCACCAAUUCUGAAGAUGAAUUCCCUUUAGGGAUUGUAAGGCAUCUGAAUUAGGUGAGUUUGAAGUUGAUUUAUGAGUUAUAAUUAUUCUUUAUUCAUUUUUUUUUAAUCUUCUAAAUAUGGGUGAACUAAGCAAGUAGUGGUCUCCUUUGUUAGAAAAGGUGUUAACUUUCAUUUCCGCUAAUAAAAAAUUUAGGUUGUAUGCAAAACCUGCCACACUUUUCCACGAAAUUCCCCACUGAAGGAAUUCCUUUUGGGUUGAUGUUAUAAAGUAACCCGCGAUGUUUUGUCCCUGCAGGUCAUAUGAAGUAGGUGGAAUUGCUGAGGAGACAGUUUGUUGAAAGAGUACUGGUAGAAUCUAACCGUUGAGUAUAAUGUAAGUUCAAACUGAUGUGACAUUAAUACAUUAGAUAGUAGAAUAAAUAAAAAAUUUACUAUCUAAUAUAUGAAUGACACGUAACAGUUGUGACUCAACUAUUAGAAUUUCAAACAUUAUUGUUGUUAAAUACGAGUAUGAAUAAGAUGCUAAAAUUAUUCUAAAAAGAAAAAAAUAAAAUCUAACUAUUGGUUGUAAUAGUUGUCAUAUAUAAGUCGAUCAUUAAUUGUCCAUAGAAAAAUGGUAAAAAUUUAUCUUGAUAAAACUUUGGUAAUUUGUCAUUUUAGUUUAAUAUUCUAAUAUCAGCUUCCCAUUAGCAAAUGUAAAAUGAAGGAAAAGCAUUUUCACUAUUUUCAUCUGACCAGACAAAACCAUCAAACGCAUUUCAUAUAUUAGUUUCAAGACCCCCUGCCAAUACAUUUUCAUUUGCACCAAAAACUAAUCACUCGUAUUUUCUGAACCAGACAAAUUGGAAAACAAUACUAAAUGCCCUCGGAUUGUUUGCUUGCUGUUUAUAACAGUUUUUUAAGACUGGUGAAACGAAAAGAG
rnacentral:lncRNA from 1 species